GGAGGUGUAUGUUGGUUUUAUAAUAAAAAAUUUCACCAAAAGGAAAUGUAACAUUUUUUAAGUCAAUGGUGUAACCAAAGGACAAAUUAGUAGGAUAACAGUUAUCUUUCGCAAGAUUGGGGCAUUUACAACAGUUUCUCCCUUAGCAAUGUUACCUGUAAGCAUGUUAUGCAAAAGAAAACAAACAAUUAUGUUGAAAAUUUAGUGAAAACAUCGUAA
rnacentral:lncRNA from 1 species